GCGCCCUUAGCUCAGUUGGUAGAGCAGCUGACUCUUAAUCAGCGGGUCGAAGGUUCGAAUCCUUCAGGGCGCA
rnacentral:tRNA from 1 species